rnacentral:piRNA from 1 species
GCUUCUGGAACGUCGGAACAGACCAAG